UGAUAAAAAAACCCAUUUGUAUGGUUAAAAACUGGUGUGACUGACAGAAUAACCAGACAAUGCUACAUGGUGUACCACGUAUAUCUUACGCUAACUUACAUAGACCAAUUUUUAAUAGUAGAAAUUGAUGAAAAUUUUAACA
rfam:Gossypium raimondii Chr01_contig_17, whole genome shotgun sequence.